rnacentral:lncRNA from 1 species
CUCACCUUCUCAACAUCUGGGAGGCAAUCCAGAAGGGCUGCUGCAUGCUCAGAGUCACUGGGGUCAUUUUCACAACCGGUGGCUGCCAUCUUCAAGGGAUUUUUCACCAUGGCAUCCACCACUGCUUCGUAGAGCUGUUUGGUUAUCAGCGGAGAGGGCAGCUCUCGCAGGUAAUCCUUUAGGACACCUGUUAUCACAUUAAUAUCCGGGUACCGGCUUUCAGACAGA